AUGUCAGCUAGGUUAUAGGUAUGAAAGAUCACGUAGAAAUGAAUGCUUGUGUAAUCACAUUGGCUAUUAUAGAACUGAAAAUGAUAUUUUGGGUUGUUUCUCAUAUAACUAAAUUGGACACUUUUCUGUUUGCAAAGUUGUUUUCUGUCCAUUAUCAGAAGUUUCUGGUAACUAUGCAAUAGACUGGGUAGAGAUUAGAAUACACUGGGUUAUUCCAGGACCAGUCAGUUGUAGCAGUCAAGUUGUGAUGACUGUAGGUGAAAAAGUAGGUUUUGCUUUUCUUAAUAAUGACAUCGUAAUGUUGUUGGGUUUUUUUUCUGGUGGUUUUACACCUGCUGAGAAUGAUGGAUUUUUGCCAUUCAUGGACAGACUCAGGCUGAUGGAUGGAGCACAGGCACAAUCAUGCGCACAGUAAAAAACUUUGCCUUGGGAAGUCACAGAGUAAUAAUAAGAUCAGCCACUGAUCAUGACUGUGUAGAAAGAUUUCGGAAAUGUCCAAUUUGCACUCCUAAAGUACUGGUGGCAUCUGCGAGCAGCCAUCCUCGAGGGGACACUUCAUGUCUGAACUCAGCGUACGGAAGCAGCUGUUGCAGAAGACGACUCUGGAGAAACUCUAUCCAAACAAAAGAAGCAGCUAGGAGGUGACAUUUCUGAGGUACUGGAAGUGUUUGACCCCUCAACCACAGGAAUCACUGGAAAAAACAUGCUCUCUGGCUAGCAAAGAGUGCUUUGUCAUUCUGAAGUCUCCUAAAGGAAGAAGAUUUGAUUUUGUCAUAUUCUCAAGAGCAAUCAGUAAGAAAAGACUACAGUAGUGACGAUAGCAUGUAAGCAAAUGGAGAGUGAAUAUGUGGACUGGUUUUUGGUGACUGAGUAUAAUUUACUUACACAAUACUGGGACACUUCAGAUGGCUUGUGUCCACCUCCAGCCAGGCUUUUUAACUGGAUCCUUAGCAGGCUAUAUAGGUUGACUGAGAGUAGCCAUCAGUAGUGUUUCUUGGGGCGCUUCCUCUAAAAGCUAAAUGUGCGACACUGUAGCACUGGAGAAGGCAGACUCUGGGAUCCCUCACUUCUUUUCAAGCAAGACCAACGGCAAAACUCUGGAUCUUGUUUCUGCCUAUAAUAUGAAUUCCCCAUAACUGCCAUUUUCCCUGUUUUGCUGCUUUGAGUUCAAUAGAAAUCACAAUUAGGUUUUCAGUUGUAGACAUCUGUCUUGGAGAUGAACUGAAGUGCUAGGUUUGUUUUAGAUGGAAUUAUAAGCAAAUAAAGAGAGAGGGGAUCUUCCA
rnacentral:lncRNA from 1 species